rnacentral:rRNA from 1 species
UAAGGAAUAUUGGACAAUGGGCGGAAGCCUGAUCCAGCCAUGCCGCGUGCAGGAAGACGGCCCUACGGGUUGUAAUCUGCUUUUGUAAGGGAAUAAUAAGGCGGACAGGUUCCGUCGAUGAAGGUACCUUACGAAUAAGCAUCGGCUAACUCCGUGCCAGCAGCCGCGGUAAUACGGAGGAUGCAAGCGUUAUCCGGAUUUAUUGGGUUUAAAGGGUGCGUAGGCGGCCUGUUAAGUCAGGGGUGAAAGGUUGCGGCUUAACCGCAGAAUUGCCUUUGAUACUGGCAGGCUUGAAUAAAGUUGAGGUAGGCGGAAUGUGGCAAGUAGCGGUGAAAUGCAUAGAGAUGCCACAGAACACCGAUUGCGAAGGCAGCUUACUAAGCUUUGAUUGACGCUGAGGCACGAAAGCGUGGGGAUCAAACAGGAUUAGAUACCCUGGUAGUCCACGCAGUAAACGAUGAGAACUAGCUGUUGGCGAUAGAAUGUCAGCGGCACAGCGAAAGCGUUAAGUUCUCCACCUGGGGAGUACGACCGCAAGGGUG